RGCGCGCAAGCUUGCUUUUCGCUGACGAGUGGCGCACGGGUGCGUAACGCGUAUACAAUCUGCCUCUUACAGGGGGAUAGCCUUUGGAAACGAAGAAUAAUACCUCAUGGUAUCCCGACCCCGCAUGGGCGUCGGGAUUAAAGAUUUAUUGGUAAGAGAUGAGUAUGCGUCCUAUUAGCUAGAUGGUGUGGUAACGGCACACCAUGGCAACGAUAGGUAGGGGCCCUGAGAGGGGGAUCCCCCACACUGGUACUGAGACACGGACCAGACUCCUACGGGAGGCAGCAGUGAGGAAUAUUGGACAAUGGGCGGAAGCCUGAUCCAGCCAUGCCGCGUGCAGGAAGACUGCCCUAUGGGUUGUAAACUGCUUUUGUACGGGAAGAAACCCACCUACGUGUAGGUGGCUGACGGUACCGUAAGAAUAAGCAUCGGCUAACUCCGUGCCAGCAGUCGCGGUAAUACGGAGGAUGCAAGCGUUAUCCGGAAUCAUUGGGUUUAAAGGGUCCGUAGGUGGAUCGGUCAGUCAGAGGUGAAAUCCUGCAGCUCAACUGUAGAACUGCCUUUGAUACUGCCGGUCUUGAAUUAUCGUGAAGUGGUUAGAAUAUGUAGUGUAGCGGUGAAAUGCAUAGAUAUUACAUAGAAUACCGAUU
rnacentral:rRNA from 1 species